rnacentral:rRNA from 1 species
CCUCUCGGGGGUAAGCGGGCAGAACUUGCAAGUAUUGNCGAGGACAUUCAGGCUUAGUGUGUGUGGUGGAGAGUAUGAGUUAAGCUGUUGGUUCGCCAGCGGGCUGAUGUAUGCUCUUUAUGCUAUGCACGAUGCGCCGCAUUUGUUCACGUCAUCUGGGUUGCAUGCGACUAAGAUGGCAAUUUAGGUGCUGGGAUACUGUGAGUCCUUGUGGCUCAAGUGCUCGGUGGCCGAUUGCUACUGUGGUCGUUGAAGGAGAACAGGUGUUUGACACGGUCAAUGCUUUUCACGAGUAGGGUGCACAUGGCUUGUGGACGGGUAACCGUAGCUUGUUGUGUGUACCUGAUUGUCGGUAAGAGUAAUUUGGCACUGUUCAGUAUUGCAAUCUAAAGCAUGCGUGGUCUGCCUGU